GAUGAACGCUAGCUAUAGGCUUAACACAUGCAAGUCGAGGGGAAACGGCAUUAUGUGCUUGCACAUUUUGGACGUCGACCGGCGCACGGGUGAGUAUCGCGUAUCCAACCUGCCCUUUACUUGGGGAUACCCCGUUGAAAGACGGCCUAAUACCCGAUGUAAUUCAUUGAUGGCAUCAGAUAUGAAUAAAAGAUUUAUCGGUAAAGGAUGGGGAUGCGUCUGAUUAGCUUGUUGGUGAGGUAAAGGCUCACCAAGGCAACGAUCAGUAGGGGUUCUGAGAGGAAGGUCCCCCACAUUGGAACUGAGACACGGUCCAAACUCCUACGGGAGGCAGCAGUGAGGAAUAUUGGUCAAUGGGCGGAAGCCUGAACCAGCCAAGUAGCGUGCAGGAAGACGGCCCUAUGGGUUGUAAACUGCUUUUAUACGAGAAUAAUUUGAUGCACGUGUGCGUUAUUGCAUGUAUCGUA
rnacentral:rRNA from 1 species